CCUACGGGAGGCAGCAGUGGGGAAUUUUGCGCAAUGGGCGAAAGCCUGACGCAGCAACGCCGCGUGAGUGAUGAAGGCUUUCGGGUCGUAAAGCUCUGUCAAGGGGAAAGAAGUGUAUUGCGGUUAAUACCCGCGAUACUUGACGGUACCCCUAAAGGAAGCACCGGCUAACUCCGUGCCAGCAGCCGCGGUAAUACGGAGGGUGCGAGCGUUGUUCGGAAUUAUUGGGCGUAAAGCGCGUGUAGGCGGUUUGUUAAGUCUGAUGUGAAAGCCCCGGGCUCAACCUGGGAAGUGCAUUGGAUACUGGCAGACUUGAAUACGGGAGAGGGCAGUGGAAUUCCUGGUGUAGGAGUGAAAUCCGUAGAUAUCAGGAGGAACACCGGUGGCGAAGGCGGCUGCCUGGACCGAUAUUGACGCUGAGACGCGAAAGCGUGGGUAGCAAACAGGAUUAGAUACCCCAGUA
rnacentral:rRNA from 1 species